UAAUGACAUUAUGCAGAGGUCCUAUUCAGUUUUGUGUCUCAAACUGCAUAGGACUUUAGCAUAAUGUCAUUAG